GACCGCAUAGCUCAGUUGGCAGAGCAUUGGGCUAGUAUUCCAAAGGUCGUAGGUUCGAUUCUCACCGUGGUCA
rnacentral:tRNA from 1 species